rnacentral:rRNA from 1 species
UACCAGCACCCCGAGUGGUCGGGACGAUUAUUGGACCUAAAGCAUCCGUAGCCGGUUCUACAAGUCUUCCGUUAAAUCCACCUGCUUAACAGAUGGGCUGCGGAGGAUACUAUGGAGCUAGGAGGCGGGAGAGGCAAGCGGUACUUAGUGGGUAGGGGUAAAAUCCGUUGAUCCAUUGAAGACCACCAGUGGCGAAGGCGGCUUGCCAGAACGCACUCGACGGUGAGGGAUGAAAGCUGGGGGAGCAAACCGG